AUGGCGGCGACCACAACAGCUGUUAGUGAGAUCUCCAUUGAGAUGGCACCUGCCGUUUCUGAACCUGCAUCCGCCACACAGCGGAGCAGAAGCAGGGGCAGGGGAGGAGAUGAUGUGGCUCUGCCUGAUACAGAGAGGAAGCCGAACAUACUACUACGUUGUGUCGCCUUCCUGGAAUGGGUGGGUCACGCCUGCGGCGCCCUGUCAUUUUUGUGGGCUACAGUUGUAAUGCUUGGGGGUUUCUGCACACUGCUCGAACCGAGCGAUUUCUGGUCUACAACAGCUAUAAUAUUUAUUGAAGCUUUCAGGGCACAUAAUCUGAGAAGCCCUCAGAACCCCCUCACUUUGCACUACUUCUGGUGGCCAUCGAACAAUGUAGCAAAAGUCCUAUGUUUGUGGACAUGCAACCCACGAUUCAUCGGCACAGAGGGAAGGCAAGCCCUAUCCAAAGGGUGUAUAUACACCGAAAAUUGUAUGGCGUGGACGAGCUCGCGCGCUCUCGGUAUCGUCAGGCACUCGUUCCCCUGGAGAUGCGGGACGUCUGUGGUAUUGCAGGUGGCUGUUUCUCAGGAGGUGUGGUUUCUUGUCAAUUCAUGGCAGCCAUCAGGCGGUGGAUGUGAUUUCUACAGGUGGGAGGAAGCUUACGCGGCGCAUCUUGCGACUCUUGGAGAAGCAGCAUAUCCAGUGGCGCAAAUCGUGCCAGGCGCCCAGGCCAGAUGCAGGGCGGGCAGGCGGCUGGAGCUCAAGUUGUGCAGCCGCCGCAUGUUCAUCCGGGGCAGCAGAACGGAGCGCCGGAGGCGUCGCAUGCUGCAUCCUUUGGCAGUGCAGUCGCAUGAUACAUGCCUGCGUGUGGACCUGGAGCCCGUGAGCCAGGUGCUGGCGCCGGCGGCAGUGAAAGGUUCGAAGCUUCGCCGGUGCAGGGCUACGUGCGUCGUCACGGAUAUGGUUGAGGAGGGUGACAAUCAAGGUUUGUCUGAUGGAGUGGACUAUGACAAGGAGAUCCAAGACAGGUCGCCCGAGGGGGAGCGGGCAGGUGAGUUAAAAGAAGACCAGCUGAUUAUUACAUCCCGGUUGUCAGUCAAGCGUGUGGUAGGGACUGUCGCAAAAUUUGAUGAAUACAAGAGGUGGCUUGUAACUGAAACUGGAUUUGGCAGAAUUCUGAAGCUGCCAAUGCUUGCCAAGCUCGAUCUGAGAAUGAGUGUUUGGGUCAUGAGGAAGGUAAAUGCUCGGUGUCGUGUAAUUGACAUCGAUGAUGACAAGAAGAUUGGAUUCACAGCAGAAGAUUUCCACAAGGUUAUUGGCAUCCCGUGCGGGAACCGAGACGUGUGUGGCAGGGAUGCACAAAUUGCUUCUUCGGCGAUCAAUUUCAUUAAGCAGACAAUCGGGAUGGAUAGUACAGUUGCUUAG
rnacentral:rRNA from 1 species